ACGGGUGAGUAACACGUGGGUAACCUGCCCAUCAGAGGGGGAUAACACUUGGAAACAGGUGCUAAUACCGCAUAAUUCAGUUUACCGCAUGGUAGAGUGAUGAAAGGCGCUUUUGCGUCACUGAUGGAUGGACCCGCGGUGCAUUAGCUAGUUGGUAGGGUAAUGGCCUACCAAGGCAACGAUGCAUAGCCGACCUGAGAGGGUGAUCGGCCACACUGGGACUGAGACACGGCCCAGACUCCUACGGGAGGCAGCAGUAGGGAAUCUUCGGCAAUGGACGAAAGUCUGACCGAGCAACGCCGCGUGAGUGAAGAAGGUUUUUGGAUCGUAAAACUCUGUUGUUAGAGAAGAACAAGGAUGAGAGUAAAAUGUUCAUCCCUUGACGGUAUCUAACCAGAAAGCCACGGCUAACUACGUGCCAGCAGCCGCGGUAAUACGUAGGUGGCAAGCGUUGUCCGGAUUUAUUGGGCGUAAAGCGAGCGCAGGCGGUUCUUUAAGUCUGAUGUGAAAGCCCCCGGCUCAACCGGGGAGGGUCAUUGGAAACUGGAGAACUUGAGUGCAGAAGAGGAGAGU
rnacentral:rRNA from 1 species